rnacentral:rRNA from 1 species
UAGCCUCAAUGCAGUCGACGGUAGACAAGAAUUGUUUCUUGGGUGACAGCGGCGGACGGGUGAGUAAUGCUUGGGAACAUGCCUUUAGGUGGGGGACAACAGUUGGAAACGACUGCUAAUACCGCAUGAUGUCUACGGACCAAAGUGGGGGACCUUCGGGCCUCACGCCUAAAGAUUGGCCCAAGUGGGAUUAGCUAGUUGGUGAGGUAAUGGCUCACCAAGGCAACGAUCUCUAGCUGGUUUGAAGGAUGAUCAGCCACACUGGAACUGAGACACGGUCCAGACUCCUACGGGAGGCAGCAGUGGGGAAUAUUGCACAAUGGGCGAAAGCCUGAUGCAGCCAUGCCGCGUGUGUGAAGAAGGCCUUCGGGUUGUAAAGCACUUUCAGUCAGGAGGAAAGGUUACGUUUUAAUAGAACGUAGCUGUGACGUUACUGACAGAAGAAGCACCGGCUAACUCCGUGCCAGCAGCCGCGGUAAUACGGAGGGUGCGAGCGUUAAUCGGAAUUACUGGGCGUAAAGCGUACGCAGGCGGUUGAUUAAGCGAGAUGUGAAAGCCCCGGGCUCAACCUGGGAACUGCAUUUCGAACUGGUCAACUAGAGUGUGAUAGAGGGUGGUAGAAUUUCAGGUGUAGCGGUGAAAUGCGUAGAGAUCUGAAGGAAUACCGAUGGCGAAGGCAGCCACCUGGGUCAACACUGACGCUCAUGUACGAAAGCGUGGGGAGCAAACAGGAUUAGAUACCCUGGUAGUCCACGCCGUAAACGAUGUCUACUAGAAGCUGGGGUCCUCGGACAACUUUUUCAAAGCUAACGCAUUAAGUAGACCGCCUGGGGAGUACGGCCGCAAGGUUAAAACUCAAAUGAAUUGACGGGGGCCCGCACAAGCGGUGGAGCAUGUGGUUUAAUUCGAUGCAACGCGAAGAACCUUACCUACACUUGACAUCCAGAGAAAUCGCUAGAGAUAGCUUUGUGCCUUCGGGAACUCUGAGACAGGUGCUGCAUGGCUGUCGUCAGCUCGUGUGAGAUGUUGGGUUAAGUCCCGCACGAGCGCACCUAUCCUUAGUUGCCAGCGAGUAUGUCGCUCUAGACUGCGAGGAGGUGGGCGACGCAGCAUCAUGUAUUAGGU